AUUUAUAGAACACAGGGUGCUAGUGAGAUAUAUUUUCUUAGGAAACUUCUAUCCUUGAGAUCAGAGUGUGAAAAUCUCAUUGCUGCUUCUUCCUUUUUUUUUUUUUUUUUUUUUUUUUAAACAUUGGUUACUUUAUAUAUGACUUUCUUCUGGUAGUGGCAAACUAAACUUUUUAGGUUAAUCUCCUGCUAAGAAACAUAAAAACUCAACAUAUGCUAGAAGGCACUGAAGAGCUAACAAGAUAGAUUAAGGAGACACUAG
rnacentral:lncRNA from 10 species